GACCAGACUCCUACGGGAGGCAGCAGUGGGGAAUAUUGCACAAUGGGGGAAACCCUGAUGCAGCGACGCCGCGUGAGUGAAGAAGUAUUUCGGUAUGUAAAGCUCUAUCAGCAGGGAAGAAAAUGACGGUACCUGACUAAGAAGCCCCGGCUAACUACGUGCCAGCAGCCGCGGUAAUACGUAGGGGGCAAGCGUUAUCCGGAUUUACUGGGUGUAAAGGGAGCGUAGACGGCAUGGCAAGUCAGAUGUGAAAGCCCGGGGCUCAACCCCGGGACUGCAUUUGAAACUGUCAGGCUGGAGUGCAGGAGAGGUAAGUGGAAUUCCUAGUGUAGCGGUGAAAUGCGUAGAUAUUAGGAGGAACACCAGUGGCGAAGGCGGCUUACUGGACUGUAGCUGACGUUGAGGCUCGAAAGCGUGGGGAGCAAACAGGAUUAGAUACCCCUGUA
rnacentral:rRNA from 1 species